rnacentral:rRNA from 1 species
GGGGAUAAAUUAAUAAAUAAAUAAUAAUUAAUUAAAGUAAUUAUAAUAUUAAAAGGGGGUUUUAGUAUUAAUAAAGAAAAAAUUAAUAAAUUUAUAGUUUAAUAGUAUUGUAAAAGAAUUUUAAAAUAAAGGUUAAAUAAUAAUUUAAUUAAAAGUAAAUUUAAUUUGUUUUAUCUUGUGUAUCAGAGUUUAUUAAAUAAAAUUAUAAGGAAAAUUAUAUUUCUCGAAUUAAAAAGAGAUAAUUAAUUAAAAAAUUUAUUGUUGCAUAAAUAUUUUUAAUAAUUAAUUUGAAAUGAAAUGUUAAUCGUUUUUUAAGAUAUCUAGUUUUUUUAGAAAAAAAUUUAAUUUUAAAUUUAAUUAAUAAAUUAAUUAAUUAGUUAAUUAAUUUAAAUUAAAAUUUUAUAUUUUAAGGGAUAAUCUUUAAAUUAAAAUUUUAUAAUUUAAAAUCAAUUUAUUUAAAAUUUUUAGAAUUUAUAUUGUUAAAUAAAUUAUAAUUUAUUAUAAAUAAUUUUAAGUAUAAGAAAAAUUUAAUUUUAAAUUUAAUUUUUUAUAAAAAAUUAAAUUUAAAUAAAUAAAAUUUAGAUAAUAUGAUAAAAUUAGUAUAAAAUAAUUAAAGGGGUAAGGAGUUAAAUUUAAUGUAAAAUAUUAAAAAGGAAUUCGGCAAAAUUUUAUAUUCACUUGUUUAUCAAAAACAUGUCUUUUUGAAGAAUAAUUUAAAGUCUAAUCUGCCCACUGAUAAAUAUUAAAGGGCUGCAGUAUUUUGACUGUACAAAGGUAGCAUAAUCAUUAGUCUCUUAAUUGGUGACUUGUAUGAAAGAUUGGAUGAAAUAUAAACUGUCUCUAAAGUAUUAUAUAGAAUUUAAUUUUUUAAUUAAAAAGUUAAAAUAUAUUUAAAAGACGAGAAGACCCCGUAGAGUUUUAUAAUUGUUAUUAGUUAUGAUUAUUUAUAAUUAAAAAUUAUUAAGAUUAAUUAAAUUAUUUUGUUGGGGUGAUAGAAAAAUAAAAAAAACUUUUUUUAAUUUUAAACAUAAAUAAGUGAUUAUUUGAUCCAUUAUUAUUGAUUAAAAGAAAAAAUUACCUUGGGGAUAACAGCGUAAUUUUUUCUUUUAGUUCAAAUAAAAGAGAAAGUUUGCGACCUCGAUGUUGGAUUAAGAUAAAAUUUAGGUGCAAAUGUUUAAAUUUUUGAUCUGUUCGAUCAUUAAAAUCUUACAUGAUCUGAGUUCAAACCGGUGUAAGCCAGGUUGGUUUCUAUCUUUAGAAAUUUGAAAUAUUUUAGUACGAAAGGAAUAAAUAUUUAAAUUAAAUUUAAUAUAAUGAAUAUUAAUAAUAAUUUAAUUUUUAAAUUUAAAA